CUUCGGCAGAACAUAUUCUAAAAUUGGAAUGAUACAGAGAAGAUUAGCACGGUGCCUGCGCAAAGAUGAUACGCAGGUUUGUGAAGCAUUCCAUAUGUAA
rnacentral:snRNA from 1 species